rnacentral:rRNA from 1 species
AUGUCAGUGGUGACUACGAGGGCAGCCAGCCAAAACGGUGGUCUAGCCACUGUUCUCGUCGGCAGCGCUGCUCCGACCGGCUCUGGCCUCGCCAUUAAUGCCCAACAGCUCCCCCUCGACGUCGUCUUCUCCGUGGACCUCUGGCCCCCUUCAUUUUCUUCUCCAGCGAGCCGUGCCAACGGCCGAAACAGUGCGCUCCUGUGCAUCGUCGCCUUCCUCCCUGAUGUCCUCUUCCUCCGUUCGUCCUCGAGCUUUGCUCGAUUCCAUGAGCCUCUGGCGCUCGUCCUCACCCUCCUCGUCGCCUUCUCGCCGCUUCCCGUGAGUAUUGGCCGCGUCUGCCGACACUGCGCCCCUCGCCGGCGCACGGACACGUCGCCUGCCGCGUGCCACCUCCUCGAGCCCUCCCGCGGCUAUUUAAGCACGCCCCGAGCAUCCUUGCAGUCCACAACCCCCUCCCUGAGCCUCUCCCCGAGCUCAGAGCCUCUCUCCGACCCCAUCACCACCAUGGUCGCCGCCUCGGGUCUCUCCAGAUUCCGGCGAUGCCGUGUUUCCCUCUCCGUUCCUGCACCACCACCGCACCCCCCAUGCUCCAGUGAGCCUCCCCAUAGCCUCGGCUUCCUCUCUCCCUCACCAGAACCCCGUGUCCACCGGCGGCCGAAGCCCUGCUCCGCCGCAAGCCUUGCUGCGGCCGCUACGAAGCUCUCCGGCGGCAGCAACGACCACCCCGAGAUGCGCCUUUCCGUCCUGCGCAUUUCAGUAGGUCGCACGACCCGCGAGGUGGCCGGAGUCGCCGGCGAUCCUCGUCGGGGCGAUCCCCUGCCUCGGCUCGUCGCGCCCCCGAGCGGGAGGAAGAAGGCCACGCGGGCCCCGUCUAGCGUUGACCCUGCCUCUGGGGCCCGCCUAUCGGCCUCUGCACGCUGA